rnacentral:sRNA from 1 species
UUUGUUCAUUUUUUAACUGCUUAUAUACUCAUUGUGCUUUAUUUUAAAAAAUCGUAUCAUUCAGACUGAAGGCGUUAGAGGAAAGGUAGAAUGUCAGAUGUCAGUGUUCAAACAUCGACAUGGCUUCUGAAUGACACUGAGAACGGCCUUGACACUAAAGACUUCAAGAAAGACAGCAAGAAGGAUUCCAAGAAAUGGGCACAACUGCAUCCAGUCCACAAGGGAUUCAGCGUCUGCCUUGUAUUGAUGAAAAUAGCCCUGCUGCUUUGUAUACUGUAUUUUUUUGUCUGUGCCCUGGGAUUGUUGGAGGACUCUUUUCAAUUACUUGGAGGGAGAGCAGCAGG